CUUUAUUCCCUUGUUUUAUACUAACCCAUAGCCUUAGCCUUAUUCUACUAACCCAUUGCAUUAGCAUUUCAUUCCACUUUAUUUUAUUACUUGUGCACUGCUGUCUUGUCCGUCUACUGUCGCGCACUAACCGCCAAGACAAAUUCCUUGUAUGUUUGACAUUUUUUGGCUAAUAAAUGUUUCCUUAUUCCUGAUUCCUGGGAUGGUUGCAUGGAGGGUGAAUAUAAAAUAGAGAUAGAUGACAGAUUACCACCAGUGAAACUGCCAAAGCGCAGAGUGCCUGUAGCUAUGAUGACACCUCUACAAGAGGAACUCAAAGAUCUAGAGAGAAGAGGGAUAAUCACACCAGUGGAACGCAGCACUGACUGGAUCAGUAGCAUGGUCGCAGUGAAAAAACCUAAUGGAAGCUGAGGAUCUGUAUAGACCCAAAACCUCUGAAUCGGGCACUAAAAAGAAGUCACUAUCCUUUCCCAACUAUAGAUGACAUCCUGCCGGAGAUGUCGAAGGCAAAGGUGUUCACAGUAUGCGAUGUGAAGCAAGGUUUCUGGCACGUCAGACUAGAAGAAGAGUCAAGCUACCUCACCACAUUCGCCACCCCAUUUGGUCGCUUCCGCUGGCUGAGAAUGCCGAUGGGAACAAGCCCAGCACCGGAAGUGUUCCAAAGAAAGCUCAUGCAGGCCCUGGAGGCACCAGUCCUACAAUACUACAAUAAGGAAGAGGAGUUGACACUUCAGUGUGACGCAUCGGACACAGAAAGGUAAACCGGUGGCAUUUGGCUGUAGGGCACUCACACCACCUGAAAAGGGCUAUGCCCAAAUAGAGAAGGAAUGUUUAGCCAUUGUGUUUGGGAUGGAAAAGUUCCAUCAGUAUACUUAUGGUAGAGAGGUCACAGUGCAAAGUGACUACAAGCCUCUAGAGAAUAUACACAGCAAGCCCUUACUUAGUGCACCUAAGAGACUGCAGAGAAUGUUACUCAGGCUACAGCAGUAUGAUAUUAGUGUGACCUAUGUUCCAGGCAGGAAUAUGUUACUUGCAGACAUGCUGAGCAGAGCAUACUUACCAGAGAGCACUAGGGGUGAGAGUGAGACAGAUAUAGAGACUGUAAACAUGGUUGGCUACCUACCCAUUUCAGCAGAGAGGCUGAGUGCCAUCAGGGCUGCAACAAAAGAUGACACAAAGUUACAGAGUGUGGCAAAUAGAAUACUGUCAGGGUGGCCCAAGAGAAAACAGGACUUACCAAGUGACAUCAGGCACUACCACACCUUCCAAGAUGAACUGAGUUUCCAGGAUGACAUAGUGUUCCGAGGGGACAGAGCCGUGAUACCUGACGCACUCAGGGUGGACAUCACUCACAGGAUCCACUCCUCUCACCUGGGAGUAGAGGGAUGUCUGAGACGAGCGAGGGAGUGUGUAUACUGGCUUGGAAUGAAUGAGGAGAUCAAGACUUUCAUCUCCAAAUGUGACAUAUGUAGGUCAGUGGACCUGAAGCAACAAAGAGAGACACUACACCCACAUGACAUGGCAAGCAGACCCUGGGCCAAGGUAGGAACAGACCUUUUCUCCUUUCACAAUAAAGACUAUCUGAUCAACAGUAGACUAUUAUUCAAACUUUUGGGAGGUCGAUUAUCUACCUGACACGAAGAGUAACACAGUGAUCAAGAAACUCAAGGCCCACUUUGCCCGACAAGGGAUUCCGGACAUUGUUAUCUCAGACAAUGGACCCCAAUAUGCAUCACUAGAGUUUCAGCACUUCAGCUGAAAGUGGGACUUUGAACAAAGGACAUCGUUGCCAGGAUACCCGCAGAGUAAGGGGAAAGCAGAGUCAGCGGUGAAGACAGCCAAGCGCCUGAUGGUGAAGGCUGCAGCAGCACGACAAGAUCCGUACUUGGCCAUGCUGGAUCAUCGCAACACGCCGAGCCAGGGUCUCGACACAAGCCCGGCACAGAGACUUCUGAGCAGGAGGACCAGGACCCUGCUUCCCACGAAGGACACUCUGCUGAAGCCAGAGGUAACACACAACGAACAGGGACUGGAAAACAACAGACGGAGACAGGAAAAGUACUACAGCAAAAGACAUGGACACUAUGGAGAGAGGGGACGAUGUGAGAAUACAACCCUGUGGCACACACGGUGGCUGGAGACCAGCGAAGGUGGUCCGACAGACAGACAGAAGAAGCUGCUGAAAGCUCUCAGUGGAUCGUCUCGUCAACUCCAACUACAAACUGCCGAUAUCAACGAGCGGUUCGCUCCACUGGAGCAUUCGGGACUCUGCGGGUUUCUGUCCAUGGAGGAGAGGAACCGACUCAAAGAAGAGGAGACGGGCGCACGAUCCCAAGAUAGCGCGGUCCGCCGUCUGCACAACUCCGAGACGAAUUACAGGCGCUACGAACCGGAGCAAGGGUCAGAUUUAAAGAAUAUGCUUUCAUUCUGCGAUAUAAGGAAAUAUAUACGUAUGGAUACCGAUCAAAACUGUACAUUUUGUUUUCACAGACUAAUCUUGCCUCAUAAUGAGGCGGUGACCUCGUAUUUGCUCCGGGAAAAGUCCAGAUUUAGACGACGUCAUUGUGUUAAGUGACACUGUUUACUGUUUCUCCUUCCCUGUUCAAUGUUACUGUGACUUGCGUUUGAUUUUUUUUGUAUUCAUACCACACUCAUUUAAUUGUUUUCUUUAAUUGUGCCGCCUGUAAGACGUAUUUUGAGACGGGACGCUGGAGCUUCAGGUUCAGCCGGAACACUCAUUGCGGGCGGAAGCUGCGAAGGAUUCAGAUUCAGUGAGUCGAGCGAGAAGAGGGUCAGAGUUUAUUUACUGACUUUUUUUCAGGUGCAUUGAUCGAUGUGUUGUGUCCGUACCGCAUCGCACAGUACUGAUUCAUUGUUUUUACAGCUGCUGGAAUCGAGACAAAGUGUGCUGGCUGAUGACGAGGUGGAACUCUGGAAAUCCGCCACCGUAGAGCUCACGUCGGACGGAGGGGACGGCGUUGUUGGCGGGGUCUCGGGGUGGAUUGUACGGUCGCCACACACACGAGGCGCCUGCACAACAGACCUGCCUCGGAAAAUACGGCGCCAGUGACGGUCUACAACCCCGAGGAGGCAAACGGACAGUUUACUGAGCUGUAGUUUUUUAAACCGCCGUUACCCAAGUGUGGGCAGAUCCUCACUUUGUAUGUAGUAGUUGUUUGUGUGUUGUUAAUAAAGCUCUUUCUUUGCAUAUACAUGUGGCAAAUGUUCAUUUUCUCUAUAAAUUCAUUGAUGUCCUGGUUGGUAUCCUAAUAAUAGUGCAGUAGCCUACAUAGGAUAACCAUGAAAUGAAUAUACAGCAUAAUAUGAAUAUAUAAAUAAAAUGAGGCGGGUGACCAAUAGCGACAGAUCUGCCAACCAAUCACGAGUGAUUGAAAGUUGUGGUUUCAUCCAAUCAUGAACAAGGAAACUCAAGCCUGGUCUGCCCAUGUGUGGUUUUGCUGCCAAUCACGAGUGAUUUUAUUUGUUAGUAAGUUGUGGUUUCAUCCAAUAAGGAGUAAGGAUAUUCAAGCCCGCUCGGCUCGGCCACCCGUGGUUUCGCUGCAUUCAUAUGCUAAUUCGGGCCAUUCGCACCUCCGCCAGCUCUCCGCCUACGUCAUGGUUCGUUUCCGACAAUUUGUGGCACAGACAAACGCAACGUGCGCGGGUUGCAAAUUGUCGGAAAUUGUCGGAAAUUAGGGAGAUUUCCGGGCGUUUACGGGGGCGAAAAUCUCACUUUUCAUCAGGAAUCAGGAAUCAGGAAACAUUUAUUAGCCAAAAUAUGUCAAACAUACAAGGAAUUUGUCUUGGCGGUUAGUGCGCGACAGUAGACCGACAAGACAACAGUGCACAAGUAAUAAAAUAAAGUGGAAUGAAAUGCUAAUGCAAUGGGUUAGUAGAAUAAGGCUAAGGCUAUGGGUUAGUAUAAAAC
ensembl:lncRNA